UACGUAGGGUGCAAGCGUUGUCCGGAAUUAUUGGGCGUAAAGAGCUCGUAGGCGGUCUGUCGCGUCGGCUGUGAAAUCCCGAGGCUCAACCUCGGGUCUGCAGUCGAUACGGGCAAACUUGAGUGUUGCAGGGGAGACUGGAAUUCCUGGUGUAGCGGUGAAAUGCGCAGAUAUCAGGAGGAACACCGGUGGCGAAGGCGGGGUCUCUGGGCCGAUACUGACGCUGAGGAGCGAAAGCGUGGGGAGCGAACAGG
rnacentral:rRNA from 1 species